rnacentral:rRNA from 1 species
GUCGAGCGCGGGCAGGCGGCGUCGGGGAUAGGGGGGGUGCAAGCGUGUCGUGGAAUGACGUGGCGUAAAGCGAACGCGGGCGGCGCGGGAAGGCGGGUGUGAAAGCCCCGGGCUACACCCGUGAACUGCAUUCGAAACUGCUGGGCUUGAGUUCGGAAGAGGGUGGUGGAAGUCCUGGUGGAGAGGUGAAAUUCGUUGAUAUCAGGAGGAACACCGGCGGCGAAGGCGACCACCUGGUCCGAUACUGACGCUCAUGUGCGAAAGCGUGGGUAGCAAACAGAAUUAGAUACCCCAGUAGUC